UCCAUAGGAGCCUAAGAGUUAUGUAGGUCCUUGGUACCAUUGCAUUAGACAUGGUAUUUUCUCUUGAUGGUUUUCUGUAAACUUUUUUUUUUUUUUUUAAAGGUUCUUCCUCCCUCUCAUGAAUUGUGCUUGGUAUUUAGUCAGAAAUGAUCACAUUUUGACUGAGUUAAUGUAUUCAAAGGAAAACCUGUGUAGAGAACGGAGUACAGAACUGAUGUCCUGUCAUUAUGAUGUCUUACUUUCUUUGGAUUUCAAGUUAAUCACAGCUGAGUUCAGGUUUACAAGGAGAAAGAGAUGCUCAGUAUCUCAAAGGAUGUGCCAACCAAUUCAGUCUGUGUAUUUCUAAAUCAGGAAAAACUUGUGAUGGUACCAGAGCAGCUAGAGACUGUAAGUCCACAAGUGCAUGCUGUUUUUGAUGUCUCGGAUCUCUGAUUUUGGCUCAGAAGUUUUGCUUUGUGUGGUAGGGAGUUCCUUCAUUCCUCAUUGACUUCAGUUAGAGUUGAAACGUGCUCAGUUGGUGCAGAUAUCAGCAAAAAUGUAAAUU
rnacentral:lncRNA from 1 species